CUGGGGAGGAGAACUGAGCCCUCUGUAAUUUCCUUCUGGCCUGCACAGUGCGCAGCCAAGGGCAGUGGAGCCUGGGAAGGACCCAGGGUGUGUGCCCUGCCCCUGGUGCAGGGGUGCAGGCCGGACUGGUUUGAACCCGGGGCCGGUGCACCCCUGGCACCUGCUGGCUGCACAACAUGGGGCUCCCCCCUGCUUGGCCUGUGGGCCCGCGGCACAGACUUUAGCCCCUGGUGCAGGUGUGCAGGUGGGAUUGGUUUUCCUCCCUGCUUGAGCCUGGGGUUGGUACACUCAGGUGCACUCGGGUGCACCCCUGGCACCUGCCCGCGGGGCAGCACGGGGCUCCCCACUGCUUGGCCGAGUGCACCACUGCACACACUUGCGCCCCCGGUGCAGGGGUGCAGGCGGGGCUCAUUUCCCUCCGGCCCUGAGCCCGGGCCCCGGUGCACUUGGUGUACCCCUGCCACUUGCCACCUGCGGGGCUCCCCCUGCUCCAGCCCGUGCGCCCCACAGCGCACACUCACUUUCACACAGGCGGCGCCUCAGCUUGCCACGGAUCUUGUCGAUGGCGUCGAAGUCGGACACGUGGAAGACGUGGGCAGACUUGGGCUCCGAGGCGAUCUCCUCCAGCUCCUCCCUGAGCGCCGCCCCGACGCCCACGGCGAAGAUGCGGAUGCCCGCGCGGUGCGCGGUGGCCGCGGCGUCCAGCACCAGGUCCUGGCUGCGGCCGUCGGUCAGGAGGAUGGCCACCUGCUUGAAGGCGCGGUCCCCGGGGCGGCCACCGGCCUGCCGGGAGAAGCUGUGGCGCGUGAUGAAGCGCAGGGCGUCGCCCGUGUUGGUGUUGCCGCCGUGGUAGGCCAGGUGCCGCGCCGCCGCCUUGACAGCCUCCCGGGAGCCGAACAGGCCCAGUUCGAAGGCCGUGGUGGGCCGGUCGCUGUAGCGCACGACCCCCACGCGGGUGCGGUCGGGGCCCACCUCGAAGGUGUCCACCAGGUUGGCCACCCACUGCCGGACCUUCUCGAAGUCCUCCUUGCCCACGCUGGAGGAGGUGUCCAAGAGGAAGACCAGGUCAUAGUGGACCGUCUUGCAACCUGCAGCGGAGGGUGGGGUGGGGAGCAAAUAGAUUGGGAAAGGUCGCCGCCCUUGUGCCUAGAGGCACUGGUGGCCUCACACACGCCUGGCUGGGGACCCUGUCUGGCUGCCUUCAAGCUCUGA
rnacentral:lncRNA from 1 species